rnacentral:tRNA from 1 species
GAAAAAGUAGUUGACAAAGUUUGAAAAGACUGUAUAAUAGUAAGAGUUGAAAAUAACAACUCAGGUCCGUUGGUCAAGGGGUUAAGACACCGCCUUUUCACGGCGGUAACACGGGUUCGAAUCCCGUACGGA